AAUGAACGUUGGCGGCGUGGAUUAGGCAUGCAAGUCGAGCGAGAAUUUGCGAUUGGAAGCUUCGGCCGAAGAAAGUGAAGGAAAGCGGCAAACGGCGUAGUAAGGCGUAGGUACGUACCCUCAGGUCGGGAAUAGCCAUGGGAAACUGUGGGUAAUGCCCGAUAAUCUCUGCGGAGCAAAGGUGUGAUUCCGCCGGAGGAGCGGCUUACGUGAUAUUAGCUAGUUGGUGGGGUAAUGGCCUACCAAGGCGAUGAUGUCUAGGGGGUGUGAGAGCAUGGCCCCCACGACCGGAACUGAGACACUGUCCGGACACCUACGGGUGGCCGCAGUCGAGAAUCUUCCGCAAUGGGCGAAAGCCUGACGGAGCGACGCCGCGUGGUGGAUGAAGGCCCUUGGGUUGUAAACACCUGUCAGAGGGGAUGAAAUCAUGUUAGGUUAUCCUUUCAUGUUGACAGAGCCUCAGAGGAAGCACGGGCUAAGUACGUGCCAGCAGCCGCGGUAAAGUA
rnacentral:rRNA from 1 species